GUGGGGAAUAUUGGACAAUGGGCGAAAGCCUGAUCCAGCCAUGCCGCGUGUGUGAAGAAGGUCUUCGGAUUGUAAAGCACUUUAAGUUGGGAGGAAGGGCAGUAAGUUAAUACCUUGCUGUUUUGACGUUACCGACAGAAUAAGCACCGGCUAACUUCGUGCCAGCAGCCGCGGUAAUACGAAGGGUGCAAGCGUUAAUCGGAAUUACUGGGCGUAAAGCGCGCGUAGGUGGUUUUGUAAGUUAGGAGUGAAAGCCCAGGGCUCAACCUUGGAAUUGCUCUUAAAACUGCAAGGCUCGAAUCUCGGAGAGGAUAGCGGAAUUUCCAGUGUAGCAGUGAAAUGCGUAGAUAUUGGAAGGAACACCAGUGGCGUAAGCGGCUAUCUGGACGAGUAUUGACGCUGAGGCACGAAAGCGUGGGGAUCAAACAGGAUUAGAAACCCCUGUAGUCC
rnacentral:rRNA from 1 species